GGACAGCAGUCAGUGAGUGAGUUCACAGCAACCCAAGAAGGUUCUAGAAGAGUGACAGCUGGAGACAGUUUGGGAGACAGGAAAACUGGCAGCCAGUGGAAAGCCUGAGACCAGACUGUGAAGUGAAAGAAGCUGUUGCCAGAAGCUCUAAGAAAAGGGGUUUGGUAUAAUUACCGCCCUGAAACUUGCUAGUCCUGUUGUUGUCAUUGCCAGAGAAGGCUCCGGAGUGUCCUGCUGCUGCUGCCACCCGGAAGGCCCGUGGGACAAAGACAGUACUGUUUGCUUAUGUUCUCAAGCAAGGAUCUCCAUUGUGAGAUUUAAAGUAAUGUUUCCAUGCAACUGACAGUUGAGAAGCUGCUCUCUGACUUCACCACAUCCCUGGGAGAAAAGAUCCUGUGCUAAGAGCAUCUCAGCUGAACUCCAAAGAUUGAGGCUUAAGUAUACAAAUCUUACAAGGUGCACACUACAGUUUAGUGCUGCUUUAAAAUCACCCACAACAACAUGUAUUAUGCAGCUGAUUACAUAAAUUUUUCAAACAGUCUUGGAACGUGUUACAGCAAAUAAAGGAUUUUGGAGCGUGUAAUGGAGUAAUGCAACCACCAACUUGUACUGAUCAGUUUUCAAUAAAUCAUCAUCAUGAAUGCACAGCUGCAGGGUCAAGGAAGGGCCACAGGGGUCUGUGCUGCCUCCGUCCCCAAUGACAGCUCAGCAGUUCCUAUUUGCCAGGAACUACAGCAAAUGGGAGCUGAGGGAGCAGCACCUGCAGGUGUGGGCAACACCCAGAGCCACGUGGUCGCGCCUCCACUUAGGAACCGGAAGGAGAUGUCACUGCUUCCCGGGAACUGCCUGAGGUGGCAAACAAGUCUCUAAGGGGAGUGCCCCCCCCGUUGGAAGAUGUCCCUCACAACGUCUGGCUGGGGAGAC